rnacentral:misc_RNA from 1 species
GCAUCCGUUAUGAAAGUACAAUAACUCAACACGAGGUCCUUGAGCAAAGGGCAACAACGUGAAAGGAUGAGAAGACCGUUAUCAUCCAACUGCUUCCCUAACUUAGACAUCCAACCAGAGUAAAUAAUUUCCACUUUCUCCAAGUUAUGGAAUCUGUUGCAUAGAGCGGUUAAUGCAUCACAGACAGGAUGUAAACCACACCCUACGCGUAUA